rnacentral:rRNA from 1 species
UACGUAGGGGGCUAGCGUUGUCCGGAAUCAUUGGGCGUAAAGAGCGUGUAGGCGGCCCGGUAAGUCCGCUGUAAAAGUCAAAGGCUCAACCUUUGAAUGUCAGUGGAUACUGCCGGGCUAGAGUCCGGAAGAGGCGAGUGGAACUCCUGGUGUAGCGGUGGAAUGCGUAGAGAUCGAAGAACGACCAACCAGCGGAACGCAAGCAUCGUCGUCGCUG